GAUAUGGUAGCUUGACAGUUUAUUAACUAUAAUAGACAUACCAAACCAAGCUGCAACUAGUUCUACCUGGGGGACUGAGGAAGGGUUCUAUUAUCUUCCCCCAGCUCUGAGUAGGCAACUUGUAUGAUCACGAAUGACAAAGGCCAAUGCAGUAGCAUCAUUUGUAAUAGCUACAUCAAAAUUUAUUUUGAUGAACCUGGAGGGAGGAAA
rnacentral:lncRNA from 1 species